GAGUGCGCAGUUUUCUGUAGCAAUACAGGAGAUCGGCGCACGGCGCACGGGUGCGUAACACGUGGGCAACCUGCCCUCCAAAGGGGGAUAACCCGUCGAAAGGCGGGCUGAUACCGCAUGACAUUCCGGUGGCCUCGGCCGCCGGAAUCAAAGCUCGAAAGGGCGUUGGAGGAGGGGCCCGCGGCCGAUUAGCUUGUUGGCGAGGUAACGGCUCACCGAGGCUUUGAUCGGUAGCCGGUCUGAGAGGAUGGCCGGCCACACUGGAACUGAGACACGGUCCAGACUCCUACGGGAGGCAGCAGUGGGGAAUCUUGCGCAAUGGGCGAAAGCCUGACGCAGCGACGCCGCGUGGGGGAUGAAGCUUCUCGGAGUGUAAACCCCUUUCGACCCGGACGAAACGCCCGCAAGGGCUUGACGGUACGGGUAUAAGAAGCCCCGGCUAACUACGUG
rnacentral:rRNA from 1 species